CUUACCUAAGCUUGACAUCCCAAUGACAUCUCCUUAAUCGGAGAGUUCCCUUCGGGGACAUUGGUGACAGGUGGUGCAUGGUUGUCGUCAGCUCGUGUCGUGGGAUGUUGGGUUAAGUCCCGCAACGGGCGCAACCCUUGUCUUUAGUUGCCAUCAUUAAGUUGGGCACUCUAGAGAGACUGCCAGGGAUAACCUGGAGGAAGGUGGGGAUGACGUCAAAUCAUCAUGCC
rnacentral:rRNA from 1 species